rnacentral:rRNA from 1 species
GGCGAACGCUGGCGGCAGGCUUAACACAUGCAAGUCGAGCGGGCAUAGCAAUAUGUCAGCGGCAGACGGGUGAGUAACGCGUGGGAACGUACCUUUUGGUUCGGAACAACACAGGGAAACUUGUGCUAAUACCGGAUAAGCCCUUACGGGGAAAGAUUUAUCGCCGAAAGAUCGGCCCGCGUCUGAUUAGCUAGUUGGUGAGAUAAUGGCUCACCAAGGCGACGAUCAGUAGCUGGUCUGAGAGGAUGAUCAGCAACAUUGGGACUGAGACACGGCCCAAACUCCUACGGGAGGCAGCAGUGGGGAAUAUUGGACAAUGGGCGCAAGCCUGAUCCAGCCAUGCCGCGUGUGUGAUGAAGGCCUUAGGGUUGUAAAGCACUUUCACCGGAGAAGAUAAUGACGGUAUCCGGAGAAGAAGCCCCGGCUAACUUCGUGCCAGCCGCCGCGGUAA